rnacentral:rRNA from 1 species
UACGAAGGGGGCUAGCGUUGCUCGGAAUCACUGGGCGUAAAGCGCACGUAGGCGGCUUGUUAAGUCAGGGGUGAAAUCCUGGAGCUCAACUCCAGAACUGCCUUUGAUACUGGGAAGCUUGAGUCCGGAAGAGGUGAGUGGAACUGCGAGUGUAGAGGUGAAAUUCGUAGAUAUCUGCAGGAACACCCGUGGCGAAAGCGGCGCGCCUGGACCACUACUGACGCUGAGGAACGAAAGCUAGGGGAG